GCGAGAAUAGCUGAGGUGGUUUUAGCAUUGGUUUGUGGUACCAGAGACGUGGGUUCAAGUCCCACUUCCCGC
rnacentral:tRNA from 1 species